rnacentral:rRNA from 1 species
AUUGAACGCUGGCGGCAUGCCUUACACAUGCAAGUCGAACGGCAGCACGGAUGCUUGCACCUGGUGGCGAGUGGCGAACGGGUGAGUAAUAUAUCGGAACGUACCUUAUUGUGGGGGAUAACGCAGCGAAAGCUGUGCUAAUACCGCAUAAUCCCUAAGGGGGAAAGCGGGGGACCGUAAGGCCUCGCGCAAUUAGAGCGGCCGAUACCUGAUUAGCUAGUUGGUGAGGUAAAGGCUCACCAAGGCAACGAUCAGUAGCUGGUCUGAGAGGACGAUCAGCCACACUGGGACAGAGACACGGCCCAGACUCCUACGGGAGGCAGCAGUGGGGAAUUUUGGACAAUGGGGGCAACCCUGAUCCAGCAAUGCCGCGUGAGUGAAGAAGGCCUUCGGGUUGUAAAGCUCUUUUGUCAGGGAAGAAACAGCAGCUCUAACACAGUAUGCGAAUGACGGUACCUGAAGAAUAAGCACCGGCUAACUACGUGCCAGCCGCCGCCGUAA